rnacentral:rRNA from 1 species
GAUGAACGCUGGCUACAGGCUUAACACAUGCAAGUCGAGGGGAGACGACGGGGAAGCUUGCUUCCCCGGGCGUCGACCGGCGCACGGGUGAGUAACGCGUAUCCAACCUGCCUCUGACUGAGGGAUAACCCGUCGAAAGUCGGCCUAAUACCUCAUGGCAUCGUCUGCGGGCAUCCAACGACGAUUAAAGAUUUCAUCGGUCAGGGAUGGGGAUGCGUCUGAUUAGCUUGUUGGCGGGGUAACGGCCCACCAAGGCUACGAUCAGUAGGGGUUCUGAGAGGAAGGUCCCCCACAUUGGAACUGAGACACGGUCCAAACUCCUACGGGAGGCAGCGGUGAGGAAUAUUGGUCAAUGGGCGGGAGCCUGAACCAGCCAAGUAGCGUGCAGGAUGACGGCCCUAUGGGUUGUAAACUGCUUUUAUGCGGGGAUAAAGUGAGGGACGUGUCCUUCAUUGCAGGUACCGCAUGAAUAAGGACCGGCUAAUUCCGUG